AGAGCUGUGAAGGGGAAAACCACAGGCCUGCUAGGCCUUGGGGGCCCAGCACUUCCCCUGCUUUGGCGGCGUCUGCCUCUUACAUUAUGAGCGGAGACUGAGGGUGACUCUAGGGACACUUCUCCAGGCCUUACCUUCAUGCUUAAUCUUUUCUUUCUUUCCUUUUUUUUUUUUUUUUUUUUAAAGAAUUGCUUAUUUUAUGUAUCUGUCACUGUCUUCAGACACACCAGAAAAGGGCAUUGGAUCCCACUACAGAUGGUUAUGAGCCACCAUGUGGUUGCUGGGAAUUGACUCAGGACCUCUGGAAGAGCAGUCAGUGCUCUGAACCUGAACCAUCUCUCCAGCCCUCUCCAAUCCUUUUUUUCUCUUUUGAGCCCUACUAUCCUCUCAUUUCCCUCUGUCCAGAGUAGCCAGCCAGUCUGAGCUUAUCAGCCCUGUGGUCAUCAUCCCUCAGGACCAAGUAUACAUCCUUCCACAUAUUCAAAAAUGUUUUGCAGAGCUCCAGAGAUAGGCAGGCAGCUCUAAGUGUAUUCUGAUAAGUGUAUGAAGUUAAAUAUAUUGGCCAUUAUAACUUCAUGCUGAAUAUAAACAUUUCAAUGCCUGGCCUGCAUUGUGAUACCCUGUCAUAAAGAAAUAACCCUGUAUAUAUAACCCUUGCUCUCUUUUUAAAGAUUUAGUGGGGGGGGGAAGGUGGAGAGAGAGAAGAUAGUGUUUUAGAAGUGAAGUAUUAAAUGGUUGUGAGCAGCCUUUGAAUUUUAAGAACUGAACUCUGUCCCCUGGAAGAGCUCUUUAACCACUGUAAGCACCUCCAUUACUUAUCUUGUUGGGUUUUGGUUUUGUUUGUUUUGACAAUCUCCAUAUAUAGUCCCUAUCUCUGCCUCUAGGUGAGCAUCCCCUCACCCAGCUUAUCUGAUUUUUGAGACAGGGUCUCUAUAGCUUCAUGCAGCCUGGAAAUCACUCUGCAACUCUGGCUUGCCUCUAAGCCACCACCCACCCACUCCCACUCUGUCCUUCAGGCUUUUAGAUUCUCAAAACUGGAGCUAGUUAGCUGGGGUAGUGCUUUUUGUGCUUCGUCUCAGCACUUAGAGGCAGAAGUUCAAGGCUAGCUUGGUCUACAUAGUAAGUUCUAGUUUAACCAGAGCUACUGAAAGAUCCCCUAUCUCAAAAAGCCAAGAAGGGUGCUGAGGAAAUGGUUCAGUGGUUAAGAGCACUUGUUGCUCUUGUAGAGAAUCGAGUUUGAUUCCCAGCACCCACAUGGAUGUUCAUGAUCAUCCGUAAUUCCAGAAUCUGGAGAUUCUGAUGCACACAUACAAGUUACACAUACAUAUACACAUAAAAUUAAAUGAAGAAAUCUCAUUUUUUUUUUUAAAAAAAAGCC
rnacentral:lncRNA from 1 species